AACUUGCGACGACUUGAACACCUGAAAAGUGGUGACAACAAUUCAACGCCUUUAUGAAAUCAUGUUCAAAAGCAAAUUCUAAACAGUUAAAACAUUGAUUUAUCAUAAUUUAGUUUAUUUCCACUUUCAGAAACCUCCCAUAUCGUGACAUUAAUUAGGAAUUAUCGUCAAACCACGUCGAAGUUGUAUCAUUCACCUGCCCUACAGCCGGAAAUCCAAACGUCUAAUGUGAGCUGGAGCAUAGCCCAGGUGACUUUAGGUGAAAGUCAGACUAAACACUGGACUGGUCGCAUGUCAUGGAGUACCAUCACUGAACCUUUGCUGCACGCACCAAAGUCAGAACAGGAAGUGACCUGGGAAUCACCCCAACGAAUAGGCAAUGACUCAAACUCAACAGGAAACUACCUGCAAAUGCCCUAAAAUGAACCGCAAGUGACCUGUAAAUGCCCUGAAAAUCGGACAGAAUGACUGCGAAUGCUCUGGUUUCGAAUGAACAACCGUUCCCAGUCUAAAUGGAUUGGGCGUCAUGCACCAUAAAUGCAGCCUUAGAGUUCACUUAGACACAAUUAUGGUGGAAGAUUUUGGUAGCAACUUGUUGUUUCCUUUUUAUCUAAUUAUUUUUUUAGACAUUGACACCUUUUUAAAAUGAUAUCUCGAUUCUUGGCAGGAGCAUAUCGAUAACCUUUUGGGAUACAAAGUAUCACGAUAUAUCACCAUUUCAAUAUUUUGUUACACCCCUAGUCAAAACUGACAGAGUGGAAUCACAGACAAAGAGCUUUUUUCGUUGAAAAUUCUUGUAAUUAUAAAUGGUUAAAUCCCUGAAUUCUUUAUAGAUAUAGACAUAAAACAGUCUCGAUUCUUGGUUAAAAGCAAAAAAAAACGUGCAGUAAGCAUUUAUUUUACGUAAAUAUGUCAAAGGACAAUGCUAGUCUGUUAGUGAGCGUAGCUAGCGGCCGCCUGAUGUAAACAGCUUUUAUGGUGAAAAUUCUUGUGAAUAAAUGCUUAAAUCCCCUAAUUCUUCAUACAUAUGGACAUCAAACAGUUUUGAGUCAUGGUUAAAGGCAAAACAAAACAUGCAGUAAGCAUUUAUUUUACGUAAAUAUGUCGAAGUACAAUGCUAGUCUGUUAGUGAUUGUAGCUAGCGGCCGCUUGAUGUAAACAGAGCUUUUCUGGUGAAAAUUCUUGUGAAUAAAUGCUUCAAUCCCUGAAUUCUGUAUAGAUUCUUGGUCAAAAGAGUAAAAAAAAAAAAAAAAAGCAGUAAGCAUUUAUUUUUACGGCUGUCAAAAUUAUCGCGUUAACGGGCGGUAAUUAAUUUUUUAAAUUAAUCACAUUAAAAUAUUUGACGCAAUUAACGCACAUGCCCCGCUCAAACAGAUUAAAAUGACACCACAGAGUCAUGUGCACUUGUUACUUGUGUUUUUUGGAGUUUUGUCGCCCUCUGCUGGCGCUCUGGUGCGACUGCUUUUAUGACCAUGAGAAUUGUGUAAUUGUUGACAUCAACAAUGGCGACGUACUAGUUUUUUUUUUUUUUUGAUUGAAAAUUUUACAAAUUUUAUUAAAACGAAAACAUUAAGAGGGGUUUUAAUAUCAAAUGUCUAUAACUUGUACUAACAUUUAUCUUUUAUGAACUACAAGUCUUUCUAUCCAUGGAUAGCUUUAACAGAAUGUUAAUGUUAAUGCCAUCUUGUUGAUUUAUUGUUAUAAUAAACAAAUACAGUACUUAUGUACAGUAUGUUGAAUGUAUAUAUCAGUCUUGUAUCUUAUCUUUCCAUUCCAACAAUAAUUUACAGGAAAAAUAUGGCGUAUUUUAUAGAUGGUUGGAAUUGCGAUUAAUUACGAUUAAUUUUUAAGCUGUGAUUAACUUGAUUAAAAAUUUUAAUCGUUUGACAGCCCUAUUUUGCGUAAAUAUUGCGAACUUUGAUGCCAAUGCCAUAGCAGCUAAUUUCUCCCAUUUAUUUUUUUCACGUUUCAAAAUGAAUGCAUGGUACGAAAAAUAUAAUAAUCACAUUGAAUCCUCGAAGAAAUCACUCCUGAGACAAUCCUUCCUGUUUGUGCGCAUACAUCUUUCGUACUUUCAUCCUAAAUCCGGCGUUGAAUGCUGCAUGUGUUGCUGCGGCUGACUGCGAAUAACUGAAGCAGAUUGUGGGAUGCCUGGCCCCCUGCUUGAAGGCGUUGCGCAGUGGCUGGCCGAAUUGACCCGUCAAUACAAUUAUGAAGUCUAUGACUUAGCAAUGACUAUUCAAUACAUUUGGACUUUUCUCAAGCUAUUUUAUAGAAGAAAUCAAUUGUUUUAUGUAUUUUUUUUGUAUGAAAAAUGUUCAACACUGUUAUAAGUGCAGUUUAGUCAGCUGUCUCACUUCAAAAAGCAUGUUUUAAAUACUGUUUUGGCCCAGGCAGGUUUUGGGGGCGCUUGAGAAAAUAAGGAUUUGAUGUGAAGUUGUUAAGUGUCCACUUUGAAUAAACGAGUUUUUAAUUGUUCACUCUUCAUUGAAAUAUACUUUUAACAGCAUGGCAUUUUAAGAUUUUAAUCUUACUGUUUUCCUUUGGUUAACUUUAUAAUACACUACUACAGCAAUAUAAAAUAUCUGUGAGGUACACUUAUCUUUUGAAACUUAUUGAUAUAAUGUACCGUACAUAUUUGAUGUAUACUUUUUUUUAGAUUUAUAUCAUGUAUAUGAUACAGAUUUUUUAUGAUGGAAAGUCAU